rnacentral:lncRNA from 1 species
GGGAGGCUGAGGCAGGAGAAUCGCUUGAACCCGGCUGCAGUGAGCUGAGAUAGCACAACUGCAAUCCAGCCUGGGCGACAGAGUGAGAUUCCAUCUCAAAAAAAACUUCAUGUAUAAUAUAUCCACAUACAUACAUAUGAAAUUAGAUGUAUACAUGUAUACAUACAAUGCACACAUAACUACUAUAUUUUACAUAUAGAUAUCAUACUAAUAUAUGCUACACAUACAUGUGCACAUUCAUAUACAUUAAAUGAAUACAAAUUGAAGCAUCUUUUUUUUAUUCAGAUUUUUCCAGUCAAGUAAAUUGUCUCAAGGCCCCUGGCCCAGGUCUGAGUGUCACUACCAGAAGGAUCCACCAGAUGGCACUCCUUCGCUACUUCCUGUACUCCCAACUUGCCAGAGAUGUCGCCUCUUUCCGCUAAGGCACAAAACUUGCAGAGCCAGGUGUUCCCCAGGCGCUUCCCCGCACGCCACCGCCCGCUCCGCACAUCGACCCCCCCGGUCACCA